AGCCAGUGAUUGUGUGGACUGGUU
rnacentral:siRNA from 1 species